rnacentral:misc_RNA from 1 species
GCGGGCCCUCGCGGCCCAACCUCCCACCCUUGUCUCUAUACACCUGUUGCUUUGGCGGGCCCACCGGGGCCACCUGGUCGCCGGGGGACGUCGUCCCCGGGCCCGCGCCCGCCGAAGCGCCCUGUGAACCCUGAUGAAUAUGGGCUGUCUGAGUACUAUGAAAAUUGUCAAAACUUUCAACAAUGGAUCUAUUGGUUCCGGCAUCGAUGAAGAACGCAGCGAAAUGCGAUAAGUAAUGUGAAUUGCAGAAUUCCGUGAAUCAUCGAAUCUUUGAACGCACAUUGCGCCCCCUGGCAUUCCGGGGGGCAUGCCUGUCCGAGCGUCAUUUCUGCCCUCAAGCACGGCUUGUGUGUUGGGUGUGGUCCCUCCGGGGACCUGCCCGAAAGGCAGCGGCGACGUCCGUCUGGUCCUCGAGCGUAUGGGGCUUUGUCACUCGCUCGGGAAGGACCUGCGGGGGUUGGUCACCACCAUAUUUUACCACG